GCCUACGGGGGGCAGCAGUGGGGAAUAUUGGGCAAUGGGCGCAAGCCUGACCCAGCAACGCCGCGUGAAGGAAGAAGGCUUUCGGGUUGUAAACUUCUUUUAUGAGGGACGAAACAAAUGACGGUACCUCAUGAAUAAGCCACGGCUAACUACGCGCCAGCAGCCGCGGUAAUACGUAGGUGGCAAGCGUUAUCCGGAUUUACUGGGUGUAAAGGGCGUGUAGGCGGGACUGCAAGUCAGAUGUGAAAAUUAUGGGCUCAACCCAUAAAGUGCAUUUGAAACUGUAGUUCUUGAGGGAUGGAGAG
rnacentral:rRNA from 1 species